rnacentral:tRNA from 1 species
CCGCCGGUAGCGUAGUGGUUCAUCGCACCAGACGCGUAUUCUGGAGGUCGUGGGUUCGGACCCCACCCGGCGGG